rnacentral:lncRNA from 1 species
AAUAGAGAUUUAUAUAUUUCUAUACAUAUAUCAUUUUAUAGGUUUUGUUCUGCUCUUUGUGAUUUAAUUUGACCAGGCCCUGCUGGACCCAUGGGGCCUUUCAACCCUGGACCCUUCAACCAGGGGCCUCCAGGGGCACCCCCACAUGCUGGUGGUCCCCCUCCUCAUCAGUACCCGCCUCAGGGUUGGGGCAAUACCAACCCCAGUGGCAACCACCUGCCCCUCACAACCCAAAGAAAGCUGCUGCAGCGGCUACAAAUCCUAACGCUGCCUGGGCUGCCUACUACUCUCACUACUACUAGCAAUCCCCAGGCCCUGUGCCAGGCCCUGCCCCAGCCCCUGCAGCCCCACCUGCACAGGGGGAGCUCCCCCAGCCUCCACCCACUGGCCAAUCAGACUACACCAAGGCUUGGGAAGAACAUUACAAAAAAAUUGGCCAGCAGCUCCAGCAGCCUGUGGCACCCCCACACCAGGACUACACCAAGGCCUGGGAGGAGUGCUACAAGAAGCAAGCACAAGUGGCCACUGGUGGGGGUCCUGGAGCACCCCCUGGCUCCCAGCCUGAUUACAGUGCUGCCUAGGCUGAGUAUUACAGACAGCAGGCUGCUUAUUAUGGACAGACCCCAGGCCCUGGUGGUCCACAGCCACCUCCCACCCAGCAGGGACAGCAGCAGGCAAAUGAAGCAAAUGGAUAUGAAUUUCAUCUGUGGAAAUAUUUUUUCCUCCAUUUUUGUUCCAUUUGGGGGCUUCUUUUAUUGGUUUCUAUAUUUGAUUGGUUUGGCGAGAGAGCAGCGGCUGCCUAGGGGCCUGGGGAUCCCCUUCAUGCCGAGGCGCUCCCUCUCUCAUUCUGUGUGUCUCAUCUUUUUCCUUUCCAAAAUCGGGAUCCUUCAUGUUGAGCCAGCCUUAGAAAAUAGCAAGAAUUUAACCUCUGCCCCGCCCCCCCCAAAAGACUAUAACAUUUUAAACACAGAAUUAGUUUUGAAAACAGAAGUCCUAGAAGUUUAAAGAGCACCAU